rnacentral:rRNA from 1 species
UGAGGAAUAUUGGUCAAUGGACGCAAGUCUGAACCAGCCAAGUAGCGUGCAGGAUGACGGCCCUAUGGGUUGUAAACUGCUUUUAUAUGGGGAUAAAGUGGGGAACGUGUUCCCUUUUGCAGGUACCAUAUGAAUAAGGACCGGUUAAUUCCGUGCCAGCAGCCGCGGUAAUACGGAAGGUUCGGGCGUUAUCCGGAUUUAGUGGGUUUAAAGGGAGCGUAGGCCGUUUGGUAAGCGUGUUGUGAAAUGUAGGAGCUCAACUUCUAGAUUGCAGCGCGAACUGUCAGACUUGAGUGCGCACAACGUAGGCGGAAUUCAUGGUGUAGCGGUGAAAUGCUUAGAUAUCAUGACGAACUCCGAUUGCGAAGGCAGCUUACGGGAGCGCAACUGACGCUAAAGCUCGAAGGUGCGGGUAUCGAACAGG